GAGUUUGAUUAUGGCUCAGGAUGAACGCUGGCUGUGUGCCUAAUACAUGCAUGUUGAGCGGAGUUCUUCGGAACUUAGCGGCGAAUGGGUGAGUAACACGUACUUAACAUGCCUUUUAGAUUGGGACAACGAUGAGAAAUUAUCGCUAAUACCGGAUACUUAUAUGGUUCGCAUGAACUAUAUAUAAAAGAAGCCUUUAAAGCUUCACUAAAAGAUUGGGGUGCGGAACAUUAGCUAGUUGGUAAGGUAAUGGCUUACCAAGGCGAUGAUGUUUAGCGGGGUUGAGAGACUGAUCCGCCACACUGGGACUGAGAUACGGCCCAGACUCCUACGGGAGGCAGCAGUAGGGAAUUUUCCACAAUGGACGAAAGUCUGAUGGAGCGACACAGCGUGCAGGAUGAAGGCCUUCGGGUUGUAAACUGCUGUUAUAAGGGAAGAAAAAGCAGUAGAGGAAAUGCUAUGCCUGACGUACUUCGAGCC
rnacentral:rRNA from 2 species